UUAAACAGUUUUCGUUUCUUUUUUUCUUCUUUGUGCUACCACUACUCUUUUCAUCUUCCUCCAUGUGAGCCUCUCUUCAUCAAUGACCUCUUCUCUUGAUAGUUUCCUGGUGGUGGAGACUGUCACCUAAAGUCAUUGAAGCUAACAAAUGAAAUGCAUCAUGAUCUUGGUUGGUGAAUUUGCAUACACUGUAAGAUCCAAUAUAAGUACAAUCCAUACUCGGUAUAUUUAUGUUGAUGGUUCCACCUUUCUAUACAAGUCUCAUCCCAAGAAAUGAACAUAAAAGAGGGAUUGGUGUGGAGAACAUCAAAAAGAGACUUGUGAACUCGAAUGGACCCCAACAUACGAGCAGCCAAAGAUAACUCUUGAAAAGCUUAUUGGGUAUGGAAACAUGCUUGUUGAAGAGCAAGAAAAUGUAAAGAGAGUUCAAUUGUCAAACAAGUACUUGAAAGAAGAAACUCUUGGAGAUGCAAACGAGGAUGCCAUCAAGUCAGGAAACUUCUAUGGUUAGAGCUUAGAAUCUUAGAUUUUCCUUAAGUACUCCUUGACCCAAAAUAAAGUCAAUUAUAGGCUCUCAUUAUCAUAUGGUUUUAAUAUUGUUUUUAGAUGAAGUAAUGAUAUGAAAAAAGUGUCCAUUGAUUUUUAAAAUGGUGUUUUUGUAAUAAAAAUUUGUAUAUUUAUAAUUUUAAAA